rnacentral:rRNA from 1 species
GACGAACGCUGGCGGCGUGCCUAAUACAUGCAAGUUGAGCGAUGAAGCUUGGUGCUUGCACCAAUUUGAAGAGCAGCGAACGGGUGAGUAACGCGUGGGGAAUCUGCCUUUGAGCGGGGGACAACAUUUGGAAACGAAUGCUAAUACCGCAUAACAACUUUAAACAUAAGUUUUAAGUUUGAAAGAUGCCAUUGCAUCACUCAAAGAUGAUCCCGCGUUGUAUUAGCUAGUUGGUGAGGUAAAGGCUCAUCAAGGCGAUGAUACAUAGCCGACCUGAGAGGGUGAGCAGCCAGAUUGGGACUGAGACACGGCCCAUACUCCUACAGGAGGCAGCAGUAGGGAAUCGUCGGCAAUGGACGAAAGUCUGACCGAGCAACGCCGCGGGAGUGAAGAAGGAUGUCGGGUCGUAGAACUCUGUUGGUAGAGAAGAACGUUGGUGAGAGUGGAAAGCUCAGCAAGUGACGGUAACGACCCAGAAAGGGACGGCUAACUACGUG